rnacentral:piRNA from 1 species
UAUAGUUGGUAAAUGUAUUCUUAAAUC